AAAAAAUAGCCAAUUACACUUAUCAUAUUGUUUUUAUAGUGCUUUUUAUUUAAUAAAAUUAGAUUUUGAAAAGUGCUUGACUAUUGUGAUUAAAUUCCCAGGUUUCUCAGGAAAACAUUUAUUGUCAUUCCUUAUAGAAAUGGACCAUAUUGUUUCCAGCUUUUUUAUGAUUGUUUUACGACUUAAUUGUGCCAGUUUUAGAUACCAUUGUACAUGUAAAUGACGAUGUAUUUUAAACGCCUAUAUUACACAUUGUAUUAUUAUUAGAUACAUUUCAUAAACAGGGGUCUGGAUUUUUUCUUCAUGUCUGUUUCAUAUAAUUUUCAGUCAUUUUUUUCUAUUGUUUAUAUAUAUUUUGCAAUUUUUCUCCAUUCUCACUUUUUUUCCCAUUAUUUUUCUCCCAUUCUCAUUUUUGUGGCAUUAUUUUCUAUGUUCAUCAAACUCUAUCC
rnacentral:lncRNA from 1 species